UUCUGGCUCAGGAUGAACGCUAGCUACAGGCUUAACACAUGCAAGUCGAGGGGUAGCAGGGUAGCAAUACCGCUGACGACCGGCGCACGGGUGAGUAACACGUAUCCAACCUUCCCAUAACUCAGGGAUAGCCUUUCGAAAGAAAGAUUAAUACCUGAUAGUACUUUUUCAAGGCAUCUUGAGAAAGUUAAAGAUUUAUUGGUUAUGGAUGGGGAUGCGUUCCAUUAGAUAGUUGGUGAGGUAACGGCUCACCAAGUCUUCGAUGGAUAGGGGUUCUGAGAGGAAGGUCCCCCACAUUGGUACUGAGACACGGACCAAACUCCUACGGGAGGCAGCAGUGAGGAAUAUUGGUCAAUGGGCGAGAGCCUGAACCAGCCAAGUAGCGUGAAGGAUGAAGGUCCUAUGGAUUGUAAACUUCUUUUAUAGUAGAAUAAAGUGAUCCACGUGUGGAUUUUUGUAUGUAUACUAUGAAUAAGGAUCGGCUAACUCCGUGCCAGCAGCCGC
rnacentral:rRNA from 1 species